rnacentral:rRNA from 1 species
UUUAACGGCCGCGGUAUUUUGACCGUGCAAAGGUAGCGCAAUCACUUGUCUUUUAAAUGAAGACCCGUAUGAAUGGCAUAACGAGGGCUUAACUGUCUCCUUUUUCUAGUCAAUGAAAUUGAUCUCCCCGUGCAGAAGCGGGGAUGCACCCAUAAGACGAGAAGACCCUGUGGAGCUUUAGACAACAGGACAGACCAUGUUAAUAUAAUCUAGCUAAAGUAACAGAACCAAUUGGACCCUGCCCCCAUGUCUUUGGUUGGGGCGACCGCGGGGAAAAGAAAAACCCCCAUGUGGAGUGAGAGCACCUCUCUCACAACUAAGAGCAACAACUCUAAGUAACAGAACUUCUGACCAUCAAGAUCCGGCCAAGCCGAUCAACGAAACGAGUUACCCCAGGGAUAACAGCGCAAUCCUCUUUUAGAGCCCAUAUCGACAAGAGGGUUUACGACCUCGAUGUUGGAUCAGGACAUCCUAAUGGUGUAGCCGCUAUUAAGGGUUCGUUUGUUCAACGAUUAAUAGUCCU